rnacentral:rRNA from 1 species
UACUAGAGUAGCACUCGCAUAUCAAUAAGCGGAGGAAAAGAAACUAACAAGGAUUCCCCUAGUAACGGCGAGUGAAGCGGGAAGAGCUCAAAUUUGAAAUCUUAAAGGGUUUCCCUUUACGAAUUGUAGUCUAAAGAAGUGUUUUCUGUUGAGGUUUUGGUAAAAGUUCUUUGGAAUAGGACAUCAUAGAGGGUGAGAAUCCCGUAUUUGACCUUUACUUUCAACUUUGUGAUACACUUUCAAAGAGUCGGAUUGUUUGGGAAUGCAGUCCAAAAUGGGUGGUAAAUUUCAUCUAAAGCUAAAUAUUGGCGAGAGACCGAUAGCGAACAAGUACCGUGAGGGAAAGAUGAAAAGAACUUUGAAAAGAGAGUUAAACAGUACGUGAAAUUGUCAAAAGGGAAGCGUUUGACACCAGUGUUGUUUUUCUGAAAAUCAAUUAAAGAACUGUUUAUGCUAAGCUGUUUAGACUUUAUCAGCUAUCUGUUUAGUUUUGAGCUUUUCUUUAAUGCACUUUUCAGUUAACAAGUCAACAUCAAUUUCUUUUGCUGUAAAAAAGCUUGAGGAAGGUGGCUUGAGAUUCGUCUUAAGCGUUUAUAGCCUCUUGCCUAUGCAGUCGGAGAGAUUGAGGUCUGCAGCGUAGAUCCUUCGGGGCUAAAUGCAUUUGUGCUAAGUUAUAGCAUUUUAUAGACAACUUGUUGACUAUGAUUUGUCUUGUAGCUUACUCGCUUAUGUUAUUUUACCUACGCUUAGGAUGUUGAUAUCGCGCUCUCACUG